rnacentral:rRNA from 1 species
AUUGAACGCUGGCGGCAGGCUUAACACAUGCAAGUCGAGCGAGCGGAGGACGGGUGAGGAAUGUCUGGGAAACUGCCUGAUGGAGGGGGAUAAAUACUGGAAACGGUAGCUAAUAGCGCAUAACAGCAGAUGUGCACAGAUGGGAUUAGCUCGUAGGUGGGGUAAUUGCGAACCUAGGCGACGAUCACUAGCUGGUCUGCUAUGAUGACCAGCCACACGGGAACUGAGACACGGUCCAGACUCCUACGGUAGGCAGCAGUGGGGACUAUUGCACAAUGGGCGCAAGCCUGAUGCAGCCAUGCCGCGUGUGUGAAGAAGGCCUUCGGGUUGUAAAGCACUUUCAGCGAGGAGGCGUUACUCGCAGAAGAAGCACCGGCUAACUCCGUGCCAGCCGCCGCGGUAAUUC